AAUUUGGUUUUGGCUUAAGUUUACUCUUGAUGGUCAGAGAACAAAAAACUCAAUCACUCAAUACUUAAAUUAUAAAUACAAAUAUGAAGUUGAGAGACAUCAUAUUGUAUUUCUCAUUUAAGUAUUGAGAGACCAAUUUUUUGUUUUCUGAUCAUCUAGGGUAAACUUACAAAAAUAUCAAAUU
rnacentral:pre_miRNA from 1 species